GGGCCAGUGACGCAAUGGAUAACGUGUCUGACUACAGAUUAGAAGAUUCCAGGUUGGAAUCCUGGCUGGCUCA